GGGAGUAGUUUAAAAGCGAGACACCCACGCAUUCUUCGUUCUCACCAUCUAGCAGCGAAAUUCAAUCUCACGUUCGUAUCAUAAUGAUCGUACGUUAGAUGUUUUGGGCCGCGCUACACUGAAGGAAUCAGCGUGUGUUUCCUGGCCGAAAGGCUCGGGUAACCCGCUGAACCUCCUUCGUGCUAUAGAUUGGGGCUUGCAAUUGUUCCCCAUGAACAAGGAAUUCCCACUAAAUGCGAGUCAUAAGCUCGCGUUGAUUACGUCCCUGCCCUUUGUAUCGUACACCCUCGCUACUACCGAUUGAAUGAUUUAGUGAGGUCUUGCCGGACUGAUGCGAGGCAAUGUCUCGGCAUUGCCGAUGUUGCCGGGAAGAUGACCAAACAUGAUCAUUUAGAGGAAGUAGAAGUCGUAAAACAAGGUAAUACGAAGGUAAUUA
rnacentral:ncRNA from 1 species